CCUACGGGAGGCAGCAGUGAGGAAUAUUGGUCAAUGGACGGAAGCCUGAACCAGCCAUGCCGCGUGCAGGAUGACGGCCCUAUGAGUUGUAAACUGCUUUUGUACAAGAGUAAACUUGAAUACGUGUACUUAGCUGAAUGUACUGUACGAAUAAGGAUCGGCUAACUCCGUGCCAGCAGCCGCGGUAAUACGGAGGAUCCAAGCGUUAUCCGGAUUUAUUGGGUUUAAAGGGUGCGUAGGUGGAUUGAUAAGUUAGAUGUGAAAUUUUCGAGCUUAACUCGAAAACUGCCAUUAAUACUGGUGGUCUAGAGAGUAGUUGAGGUAGGCGGAAUGUGUGGUGUAGCGGUGAAAUGCUUAGAGAUCACACAGAACACCGAUUGCGAAGGCAGCUUACCAAUCUAUAUCUGACGUUGAGGCACGAAAGCGUGGGGAGCAAACAGGAUUAGAUACCCUAGUAGUC
rnacentral:rRNA from 1 species